UAAGGUAUGCAAACACGCACGUGCGUUUGAUGGAUGCUUCAUAAAAACACUAGCUGAGUUUUGUUAUUAUCAUAACUUUUCCUAAGGCCGAGAAAAAAAAGAUCCGUGUUUCCGGUAACCCGACCGACCCUGUUUUUUAGCCCCGACCCUAACUUUUUUAUUGGAUCUUCCAAAAAAAAAAAAAAAAAAAUUUAUCAACCGACCCUGUUUUUGACACAGGCUUCUGAUAGAUGACAUAAUAUUUUUUCUCUCUUGCUUCCUCUUGCAUAGAAAGCCAGUAAAACAUUUUAUUAAUGUCAAAAGGUAUUCCAAAUAGGUUAAAAUCCAAGAAAUUUGCACAGCAGGUGCUUCAAAAACAUUGCAAAUGGCACACUUCCGGUUUUUGAAACUAAUUACGGAUCCGGACUUGGAAAAAACAUGAUAAUUUUUCCGGAUUUCAUUUACGAUGUCAAAAAAAAAAUAAAAAAUAAAAAAAUAAGGAAUUCCGACCUACCGACCCUAUUUUUCAAAAUGAUGUUACCAGAAACACAUAUCUUUUUUUUUUAGGCCUAAGCUAUCAAAAAGAAGAUAAAAACAUGCGGACAUUUACUUUCGUUUUAAAUCAUUGUAUGUUAUGAUAAGUCCCGAGCAAUUCGAAAAAAAUAUGACAGCAUGACACACGCUAAUUGGAUAAA
rnacentral:lncRNA from 1 species